GAUGAACGCUGGCGACGGGCUUAAUACAUGCAAGUCGAGGGAAAAGAUGUAGAGCUUGUGCCAAGGAUGUUGGCGACGGGCGGGCGAGUGAGAAGUGGAUAACGUACCUACAAGUCUGGGAUAAAUAGGGGAGAGAGGGGAAGAUAAAGGUUAAUAUAUUGAACUGUAUGGCUUAAUAGUUAAAGAAGAGUUUGCUGUCAGUUAUGGAUGGAUCCGCGUCGCAUUAGCUAGUUGGUUAGGUAACGGCUUACCAAGGCGACGAUGGGUAGCGGACCUGAGAGGGUGACCGGCCCCCCUGGUUCGGAGUCACGUUCCAUACUCCUUCGUGCGGCAGCAGUAGGUAAUCUUUCUCAAUGGGCGAGAGCCUGACUGAGCAACGCCGCUUGAGUGAUGAAUGUCUUCGGUUCUUAUAGCUCUCUUAUUUUGUAAGAACAAAUAUGUAAGUAACUAUGCACGUCUUGACGGUACCUAAACAGAAAGCCCCGGCUAACUACGUG
rnacentral:rRNA from 1 species